CCGAGGCCACAACUCCAGUCGCCCGGGCCAGGCCCUCUGCUGCCCACGAGCCCUCACCUGCCGUUCGAGGCGCCGGGAGGGGUUAUUGAAUUCAUUGGAGAAUGAGUGCUGUCCCAAACUUGGAACCAAGAAAUUGGUACCUGCUUGUGCGGAAACUCAGCAGAACCAGUCUGAAAAGCUUCAACGCUUGCUUACUAAGGAAUAAAUGUGGGCCUGGCCUUGUUUGAAAGUAAAAGCUGAAACAGGGAGGGAGAGAAGGAAAGGGACAAGGCUCAUCAAGUCCAGCUUGGAGAGUUUCAAGGGUAAGAGUU